CAGCAGCCGCGGUAAUACGGAGGAGGCUAGCGUUGUUCGGAAUUACUGGGCGUAAAGCGUGCGUAGGCGGCCUGGUUAGUCGGAGGUGAAAUCCCGGAGCUCAACUUCGGAACUGCCUCCGAGACGGCUGGGCUUGAGCGAAGGAGAGGAGAGCGGAAUUCCCAGUGUAGAGGUGAAAUUCGUAGAUAUUGGGAAGAACACCGGUGGCGAAGGCGGCUCUCUGGCCUUUUGCUGACGCUCAGGCACGAAAGCGUGGGGAGCAAACAGGAUUAGAUACCCUGGUAGUCCACGCCGUAAACGAUGGAUGCUGGAUGUCGGGGGGCUUGCCCCUCGGUGUCGAAGCCAACGCGAUAAGCAUCCCGCCUGGGGAGUACGGCCGCAAGGUUAAAACUCAAAGGA
rnacentral:rRNA from 1 species